ACCAAGCUUCCAGGAAAAGCCACUAAGCUUCAGUCUAGAGUUGACCGUACCGCAAACCGACACAGGUGGGCAGGAUGAAAAUUCUAAGGCGCUUGAGAGAACUCAGGAGAAGGAACUCGGCAAAUUAACACCGUAACUUCGGGAGAAGGUGUGCCCCGGUAGCGUGUAGAGACUUGCUCUCGAAGCGCGAUGGGGUUGCAGUGAAAUGGUGGCUGCGACUGUUUAAUAAAAACACAGCACUCUGCAAACACGAAAGUGGACGUAUAGGGUGUGACGCCUGCCCGGUGCCGGAAGGUUAAGUGAUGGGGUGCAAGCUCUUGAUCGAAGCCCCGGUAAACGGCGGCCGUAACAAUAACGGUCCUAAGGUAGCGAAAUUCCUUGUCGGGUAAGUUCCGACCUGCACGAAUGGCGUAACGAUGGCCACACUGUCUCCUCCUGGGACUCAGCGAAGUUGAAAUGUUUGUGAAGAUGCAAUCUACCCGCGGCUAGACGGAAAGACCCCAUGAACCUUUACUGUAGCUUUGCAUUGGACUUUGAACCGGUUUGUGUAGGAUAGGUGGGAGACUGUGAAGCCGGGACGCUAGUUUCGGUGGAGUCAACCUUGAAAUACCACCCUGAUUUGUUUGAGGUUCUAACCUUGGUCCGUGAAUCCGGAUCGGGGACCGUGCAUGGUAGGCAGUUUGACUGGGGCGGUCUCCUCCCAAAAGGUAACGGAGGAGUACGAAGGUACGCUUAGGGCGGUCGGACAUCGCCCACAAAGUGCAAUGGCAAAAGCGUGCUUGACUGCGAGACCCACAAGUCGAGCAGGUACGAAAGUAGGUCAUAGUGAUCCGGUGGUUCUGUAUGGAAGGGCCAUCGCUCAACGGAUAAAAGGUACUCUGGGGAUAACAGGCUAAUUCCUCCCAAGAGUUCAUAUCGACGGGGGAGUUUGGCACCUCGAUGUCGGCUCAUCACAUCCUGGGGCUGUAGUCGGUCCCAAGGGUAUGGCUGUUCGCCAUUUAAAGUGGUACGCGAGCUGGGUUUAAAACGUCGUGAGACAGUUUGGUCCCUAUCUGCCGUGGGCGCUGGAAAUUUGAAGGGGGCUGCUCCUAGUACGAGAGGACCGGAGUGGACGAACCUCUGGUGUACCGGUUAUGACGCCAGUCGUAUCGCCGGGUAGCUAAGUUCGGAAGAGAUAAACGCUGAAAGCAUCUAAGCGUGAAACUCGCCUUAAGAUAAGAUUUCCCGGAGUCUC
rnacentral:rRNA from 1 species